AGAGGACCAAGAUUCAUUAGGUUUGGGGCAACUUGUGAUGUUCUUACUUACUUGCUGCUGAAGUCCAUAAGGCCUUUUCGUUCCACAUUCGCCGAGCUAAGAACGGCGGGAACUACGCGUUCGUGGAGUCUACGUCCAUGCUCUCCUUUGCUGUGAACCACAAUCUCGCAGGGAUAAUCGG